GACAGAGGGUGCAAACGUUGUUCGGAAUUACUGGGCGUAAAGCGAGUGUAGGCGGUCCGAAAAGUCAGGUGUGAAAGCCCUGGGCUCAACCCAGGAAGUGCACUUGAAACUGCCGGGCUAGAGUAUCGGAGAGGUUGGUGGAAUUCUCGGUGUAGAGGUGAAAUUCGUAGAUAUCGAGAGGAACACCGGUGGCGAAGGCGGCCAACUGGACGAAUACUGACGCUGAGACUCGAAAGCGUGGGGAGCAAACAGG
rnacentral:rRNA from 1 species